UGUACCAGGAACACGUUAACUGCAGAAC
rnacentral:piRNA from 1 species